CCCCUAGACGUUCUGGGCUGCACGCGCGCUACAAUAAUACGCACAGCGAGUAUCACCGAGCUCGAAAGGGCAAGGUAAACAAUAGAAAAGGUACUGUAAUGGUUAUAGAUCCUUGUAAUUAUUGAUCUUCAACGAGGAAUUCCUAGUAAGUAUGUGUCAUCAUCACGCACUGAUUACGUCCCUGCCCUUUGUACACACCGCCCGUCGCUCCUACCGAUUGAGUGAGCCGAUGAAACUGCCGGAUGUGGACUAUUCAUAGUCUGCAGAAGAUAUUUGAAUCGUAGCGCUUAGAGGAAGGAGAANUCGUAACA
rnacentral:rRNA from 1 species